rnacentral:tRNA from 1 species
GCCGGAGUGGCGAAAUUGGUAGACGCAGGGGACUCAAAAUCCCCCGGGUAAAACCGUGCCGGUUCGAGUCCGGCCCCCGGCA